rnacentral:rRNA from 1 species
UACAGAGGUCUCGAGCGUUAGGCGGAAUCACUGGGCUUAAAGCGUGUGUAGGUGGAUCGUUAAGUACCUUGUGAAAUCCCACGGCUUAACCGUGGAACUGCUUGGUAUACUGGCGGUCUUGAGCCAGCUAGGGGCUACCGGAACAAAUGGUGGAGCGGUGAAAUGCGUAGAUAUCAGUUGGAACGCCAAUGGUGAAAACAGGUAGCUGGGGCUGUGCUGACGCUGAGACACGAAAGCCAGGGGAGCAAACGGG